UUAAGCGACUAAGCGUACACGGUGGAUGCCCUGGCAGUCAGAGGCGAUGAAGGGCGUGCUAAUCUGCGAUAAGCGCCGGUAAGGUGAUAUGAACCGUUAUAACCGGCGAUACCCGAAUGGGGAAACCCAGUGUGAUUCGUCACACUAUCAUUAACUGAAUCCAUAGGUUAAUGAGGCGAACCGGGGGAACUGAAACAUCUAAGUACCCCGAGGAAAAGAAAUCAACCGAGAUUCCCCCAGUAGCGGCGAGCGAACGGGGAGGAGCCCAGAGCCUGAAUCAGCAUGUGUGUUAGUGGAAGCGUCUGGAAAGGCGCGCGAUACAGGGUGACAGCCCCGUACACAAAAGCGCAUGUGCUGUGAGCUCGAUGAGUAGGGCGGGACACGUGGUAUCCUGUCUGAAUAUGGGGGGACCAUCCUCCAAGGCUAAAUACUCCUGACUGACCGAUAGUGAACCAGUACCGUGAGGGAAAGGCGAAAAGAACCCCGGCGAGGGGAGUGAAAAAGAACCUGAAACCGUGUACGUACAAGCAGUGGGAGCACCCUUUGGGUGUGACUGCGUACCUUUUGUAUAAUGGGUCAGCGACUUAUAUUCUGUAGCAAGGUUAACCGAAUAGGGGAGCCGGAGGGAAACCGAGUCUUAAUUGGGCGUUAAGUUGCAGGGUAUAGACCCGAAACCCGGUGAUCUAGCCAUGGGCAGGUUGAAGGUUGGGUAACACUAACUGGAGGACCGAACCGACUAAUGUUGAAAAAUUAGCGGAUGACCUGUGGCUGGGGGUGAAAGGCCAAUCAAACCGGGAGAUAGCUGGUUCUCCCCGAAAGCUAUUUAGGUAGCGCCUCGUGAAUUCAUCUCCGGGGGUAGAGCACUGUUUCGGCUAGGGGGCCAUCCCGGCUUACCAACCCGAUGCAAACUGCGAAUACCGGAGAAUGUUAUCACGGGAGACACACGGCGGGUGCUAACGUCCGUCGUGAAGAGGGAAACAACCCAGACCGCCAGCUAAGGUCCCAAAGUCAUGGUUAAGUGGGAAACGAUGUGGGAAGGCCCAGACAGCCAGGAUGUUGGCUUAGAAGCAGCCAUCAUUUAAAGAAAGCGUAAUAGCUCACUGGUCGAGUCGGCCUGCGCGGAAGAUGUAACGGGGCUAAACCAUGCACCGAAGCUGCGGCAGCGACACUGUGUGUUGUUGGGUAGGGGAGCGUUCUGUAAGCCUGUGAAGGUGUGUCGUGAGGCAUGCUGGAGGUAUCAGAAGUGCGAAUGCUGACAUAAGUAACGAUAAAGCGGGUGAAAAGCCCGCUCGCCGGAAGACCAAGGGUUCCUGUCCAACGUUAAUCGGGGCAGGGUGAGUCGACCCCUAAGGCGAGGCCGAAAGGCGUAGUCGAUGGGAAACGGGUUAAUAUUCCCGUACUUGGUGUUACUGCGAAGGGGGGACGGAGAAGGCUAUGUUGGCCGGGCGACGGUUGUCCCGGUUUAAGCGUGUAGGUGUGUGUUCCAGGUAAAUCCGGUUCACUUUAACACUGAGGCGUGACGACGAGGCACUACGGUGCUGAAGCAACAAAUGCCCUGCUUCCAGGAAAAGCCUCUAAGCAUCAGGUAACAUCAAAUCGUACCCCAAACCGACACAGGUGGUCAGGUAGAGAAUACCAAGGCGCUUGAGAGAACUCGGGUGAAGGAACUAGGCAAAAUGGUGCCGUAACUUCGGGAGAAGGCACGCUGACACGUAGGUGAAGUGAUUUACUCAUGGAGCUGAAGUCAGUCGAAGAUACCAGCUGGCUGCAACUGUUUAUUAAAAACACAGCACUGUGCAAACACGAAAGUGGACGUAUACGGUGUGACGCCUGCCCGGUGCCGGAAGGUUAAUUGAUGGGGUCAGCGCAAGCGAAGCUCCUGAUCGAAGCCCCGGUAAACGGCGGCCGUAACUAUAACGGUCCUAAGGUAGCGAAAUUCCUUGUCGGGUAAGUUCCGACCUGCACGAAUGGCGUAAUGAUGGCCAGGCUGUCUCCACCCGAGACUCAGUGAAAUUGAACUCGCUGUGAAGAUGCAGUGUACCCGCGGCAAGACGGAAAGACCCCGUGAACCUUUACUAUAGCUUGACACUGAACAUUGAGCCUUGAUGUGUAGGAUAGGUGGGAGGCUUUGAAGUGUGGACGCCAGUCUGCAUGGAGCCGACCUUGAAAUACCACCCUUUAAUGUUUGAUGUUCUAACGUGGACCCGUUACCCGGGUUGCGGACAGUGUCUGGUGGGUAGUUUGACUGGGGCGGUCUCCUCCUAAAGAGUAACGGAGGAGCACGAAGGUUGGCUAAUCCUGGUCGGACAUCAGGAGGUUAGUGCAAUGGCAUAAGCCAGCUUGACUGCGAGCGUGACGGCGCGAGCAGGUGCGAAAGCAGGUCAUAGUGAUCCGGUGGUUCUGAAUGGAAGGGCCAUCGCUCAACGGAUAAAAGGUACUCCGGGGAUAACAGGCUGAUACCGCCCAAGAGUUCAUAUCGACGGCGGUGUUUGGCACCUCGAUGUCGGCUCAUCACAUCCUGGGGCUGAAGUAGGUCCCAAGGGUAUGGCUGUUCGCCAUUUAAAGUGGUACGCGAGCUGGGUUUAGAACGUCGUGAGACAGUUCGGUCCCUAUCUGCCGUGGGCGCUGGAGAACUGAGGGGGGCUGCUCCUAGUACGAGAGGACCGGAGUGGACGCAUCACUGGUGUUCGGGUUGUCAUGCCAAUGGCACUGCCCGGUAGCUAAAUGCGGAAGAGAUAAGUGCUGAAAGCAUCUAAGCACGAAACUUGCCCCGAGAUGAGUUCUCCCUGAGACUUAGAGUCUCCUGAAGGAACGUUGAAGACGACGACGUUGAUAGGCCGGGUGUGUAAGCGCAGCGAUGCGUUGAGCUAACCGGUACUAAUGAACCGUGAGGCUUAACCUU
rnacentral:rRNA from 2 species